AGUGAACGCUGGCGGUAGGCCUAACACAUGCAAGUCGAACGGCAGCACAGUAAGAGCUUGCUCUUACGGGUGGCGAGUGGCGGACGGGUGAGGAAUACAUCGGAAUCUACUUUUUCGUGGGGGAUAACGUAGGGAAACUGACGCUAAUACCGCAUACGACCUACGGGUGAAAGCAGUGGAUCUUCGGACCUUUCGCGAUUGAAUGAGCCGAUGUCGGAUUAGCUAGUUGGCGGGGUAAAGGCCCACCAAGGCGACGAUCCGUAGCUGGUCUGAGAGGAUGAUCAGCCACACUGGAACUGAGACACGGUCCAGACUCCUACGGGAGGCAGCAGUGGGGAAUAUUGGACAAUGGGCGAAAGCCUGAUCCAGCCAUACCGCGUGGGUGAAGAAGGCCUUCGGGUUGUAAAGCCCUUUUGUUGGGAAAGAAAAGCGGCAGGUUAAUACCCCGCUGUUCUGACGGUACCCAAAGAAUAAGCACCGGCUAACUUCGUG
rnacentral:rRNA from 1 species